GCCCGGCCGCCUAGCGCCCGCCCAGCCGCCUAGCCGUCCGCCUAGCCCCAUUUUUUGAACACUGCGAUUGACUGGAAGUCUGAAACCCGAAAUUGAAAAAGUUGACCUGCAAAUUUGAGCUUGAGAUUGAGAUUUGGAAGCCGAAGCAAGCACAAGUCAUGGGAACCCUAAAUACAAAAUUUGCUGACUUGGGGAUUAUUUCCUGUCCAGUUUAUUGAGUUGAUGGAUUGUUGUUUUUCUGGGGCUGAUGAGAACACUCAGACUAAUGGAGGAAAUGAACUUAUUUUUCCAGUUUAUCCAGUCCUUCCAUGCAGAGAUACAAUGCAGCGCUCAAGAACAAAUUCCUGUGAUCUUCUUGCCCAGCUUCCUUCUUCUCUGUCCUUAGACUCUGGGAUUUAUGCACAUCCAUUAAUAUCAAACC